CUGCAUUCUCUAAAACCCCCCGCUAGCUGCUUGUAGCUUCUGGGAUAAGCACGAAUGCAAGAGAAAACCCGAGAACUUUCCAAAGCUACGUGUCUUCACUGUGACUACUAGCUAUUUCACGUCUUGAACACU